UACGGAGGGUGCAAGCGUUAUCCGGAUUCACUGGGUUUAAAGGGUGCGUAGGCGGGUUGGUAAGUCCGUGGUGAAAUCUCCGAGCUUAACUCGGAAACUGCCGUGGAUACUAUCGAUCUUGAAUAUCGUGGAGGUAAGCGGAAUAUGUCAUGUAGCGGUGAAAUGCUUAGAUAUGACAUAGAACACCAAUUGCGUAGGCAGCUUACUACACGAUCAUUGACGCUGAGGCACGAAAGCGUGGGGAGCAAACAGG
rnacentral:rRNA from 1 species